rnacentral:rRNA from 1 species
AAAGGCCCCUUCGGGGGUACUCGAGUGGCGAACGGGUGAGUAACACGUGGGCAAUCUGCCCUGCACUUCGGGAUAAGCCUGGGAAACUGGGUCUAAUACCGGAUAGGACCUUUAGGCGCAUGUCUUUAGGUGGAAAGCUUUUGCGGUGUGGGAUGGGCCCGCGGCCUAUCAGCUUGUUGGUGGGGUGAUGGCCUACCAAGGCGACGACGGGUAGCCGGCCUGAGAGGGUGUCCGGCCACACUGGGACUGAGAUACGGCCCAGACUCCUACGGGAGGCAGCAGUGGGGAAUAUUGCACAAUGGGCGCAAGCCUGAUGCAGCGACGCCGCGUGGGGGAUGACGGCCUUCGGGUUGUAAACCUCUUUCACCAUCGACGAAGGUCCGGGUUUUCUCGGAUUGACGGUAGGUGGAGAAGAAGCACCGGCCAACUACGUGCCAGCAGCCGCGGUAAUACGUAGGGUGCGAGCGUUGUCCGGAAUUACUGGGCGUAAAGAGCUCGUAGGUGGUUUGUCGCGUUGUUCGUGAAAUCUCACGGCUUAACUGUGAGCGUGCGGGCGAUACGGGCAGACUAGAGUACUGCAGGGGAGACUGGAAUUCCUGGUGUAGCGGUGGAAUGCGCAGAUAUCAGGAGGAACACCGGUGGCGAAGGCGGGUCUCUGGGCAGUAACUGACGCUGAGGAGCGAAAGCGUGGGGAGCGAACAGGAUUAGAUACCCUGGUAGUCCACGCCGUAGACGGUGGGUACUAGGUGUGGGUUUCCUUCCUUGGGAUCCGUGCCGUAGCUCACGCAUUAAGUACCCCGCCUGGGGAGUACGGCCGCAAGGCUAAAACUCAAGGAUUUGACGGGGGCCCGCACAAGCGGCGGAGCAUGUGGAUUAAUUCGAUGCAACGCGAGAACCUUACCUGGGUUUGACAUGCACAGGACGCGUCUAGAGAUAGCGUCUGCUG